AUUAUAGAAAACUUUUCUUGACUUUAACCUUGGGGACCAGGUUAAUCUUAAAAGGGAAGACAUUGUAAAAAGGCAGAACAUGGCAAAAGAGUCAUUAGCCGAAAGAGAGAGUGAGAAGCACAUGGAGGUAGGGGAAUUAAAGGCUAGGAAGGGCUUUAGGCUCAAAAUAACUAGCAUCAAAUUUAAAGGAUUAUUGAAGAAAUAAUAUUAGAAGGGACCAUUAGAAGAGAAAGAAUAGAAAGGAAAUUUGUGGAUGAUCCAUUUCUCUUUUGGAAUCUUGUUUUUUGUCAUACUAUUUUAUGUCGUUU
rnacentral:lncRNA from 1 species